rnacentral:lncRNA from 1 species
AUCUCUGCGUGACUUCCGCCAGCGUUUAGAGCGUUUUCGGGGUCCGAGUUGAAGAGCAAAACCAAGUGAAGGAAACUUCACUAAGUUCAGGGUGACAAGGGAGGAAGUACAGAGACUGCACUUUAAAUUCUGGAUGACAGACCUAUCAGGACUGAGUGGACCUUUGAGUGACAAGAUGGGGGUGUUCCAAAGAGACCAUGGCAGCCUGCAGCUAGGACUUUAAUUGAACUAUUGGCAUGGCUCAAUCCAUUGACCUGUUUUGGUUCCUGAUGAAGUUUUGUUAAUUUAAAUGAGAAAAAUAAGGACAGUGAAAAACAGAGCGCUUAAAAAGCACUGUCUGGAUAUCUUCAGAGGGAAAAAGGAGAAAGUUAACUGAAUUGGUGACACUUCGGGUCUCUCACAGAGGAAGACUCAUUCUGGGCCUGGCGUGGUGUCUCACGCCUUUAAUACCAGCACUUUUGGAGGCCAAGGCGGGAGGAUCGGUUGAGCUCAGGAAUUUGAGACCAGCCUGGACAACAUGGUAAAACCCUAUCACUGCAAAAAAUACAAAACUUAACUGGGUGUGGUGGCACACACCCGUAGUUCCAGAUACUCAGGAAGCUGAAGUGGGAUGACCACUUGAACCCAAGAGGCCUGGGCUGCAGUGAGCUAAGAUGGUGCCACUGCACUCCAGCCUCAGUGACUGAGUGAGACCCUGUCUCAAAAAAAAAAGACUCAUUCUGGAUAAUUGCCCGUUUCUGAUUUUUUUCCUCUAGAAUUCUGAUUUUUUCCUCUAUCUCAGUUUGUGUCUUUGUCCAUUAAAAUAGGCCACAAUGAUUGAUGAUAAAUUUGUUCUCUGAGAUAGCACCUAGAGGAACAGUUAUCCAAAGUGUCCUGUGCCCUGUCAAAGGCUGAAAUAACCACCAUUGCUGAAAUUAUGUGUUUAUAGAUAAUGCCUCCCUAUUUUGGCAUUUUUCUUUCAAAAAUGAAUUAUCACCAGUACCCGCCUUUAUUCAUAUAUUUUCUCCUCAACCUCAUUGCUGAGUAUCUAAAAUAGAUUUGCAGCUGAAGAACUACUCAUUCCCUUGUCUUCCCAUACCAGGCCUGUAGCCUGCUUUCAAACUUAUUCCUAUGCACAACACAACGUGAGCUGUAUCUUAGAUUUAUUCUCACUUUGUAUUCAGAGUCAAUACACUUGGUAAGUGCACAGCUGUGACACACUAGGAUUCCUACAGGCUUUACGCAAAUGUACGUGAUUUUAUCAGUCCCAGAAGACUAGCCCUUGAGAGAUUUGCUUGGGUAACAUUUUUGGCAGUGCUUCUUUCUUUGUUUUUAUUAAUGUUCUGGAUUCAUGUUUGUGAGACUCUCAAAUUUAUUUCAGAUUAGAUGAAGGUGACCUUCCCCUUCGCCAAGCAGAAUCUCCCAUGAGACUCAUGAAUCCUCUUGAGGCCAAUUACAGCUAUCACUUGUUAACUGUUGGAGUACUUUCAGUCUUAAAAGAGCUGCUAGAAAAUUAAGGCUGCAACAUGAAAGAAGAACAAAAUGGUCAGGCAUAUCACACGUUUUUAUCAAAUGAUUUGGUUUAGGACUUGAUAACCUGGUUAGUACUUGAGCACUGAAAGAUAUUUUGAAUUUAAAGUAAGAUGGAGAAAGUGAUGGAAGCUAAAUCACAGAGGAUAGAAAUACGAUCAAUCGUAUUCAGAACAGAAACAUCUUGGGCUCAAUGUCUGGGAACAAUGAGAAGAUUAGGCUGCUUUAGAACUUAGCUCUCAUUUGUUUUGGUAACCUCCACCUGCAAGAGGACACUCUUCCGUCCCAGUGAGACUGAGGUGAGAAUCACAAGACCACUGCCCUCUAUCUCAUCUUUUCUCCAAGCCUUAGACCAUCAUGGGAUUCACUAACAUCAUUCACACUUCAGGAGUGAUAUAUCAGAGUGAGCCCCUCUUUUCUGCUCAUCUUUCUGCCUCUCUAGAAAAGAGAUAAUUUCACUGUUUACCUCGGGAAACAUGAAAGUUAAUGAUAAAUGUAAAUGAUAGAUGAGGCAAGCAUUGAAAGCUAUAAAGUUGAAAGUAGGACCUAAUACCCUGUAGUAAUGUGUACUCCUUUUUAAAAGAAAACACACAAGUCAUUUAAGAAAGGUUAAUUUCUGCUACCUUUCCAAAAUAUUCUCAGAAUAAUUGGAGAGAAAAAUUGUGACAAAACACUGGGGGCACCAUUGGUGAAAGAAAACUGUAUAUUCUUGUCUUUCAGUCAGGAAAGAAUAAUAUCUACUUGAUCGAAAUGAUUUUUUUCCUCAGAAACUGUGGUACUGGCUACUAGAAAACAGAGAAUUUAAACUAUUAUUUCUCAGAAUGUUUUAUCUCCAUGACCCAAAGAUGGUUUCCCUCCAUGAGAAAAUAUCCCAGUGUUUGUUUUCGAGUUGUCAUCAACACAAAGCAGCAGCACGUUCACAUAUAAUGUGUUUCCAGCUUUUCAAAGCAUUUUCACUUGUUUCUCAAUUGUUUAUUACAAUAAUAACCCUGUGUUGACAUUAUUAUCUUCAUUUCACAAAUGAGGCAGCUCAGAUUCAGACAUUAAGGGACCUUCACAAUAUAUUUAGCUUACGGUGGCAGAACGAAGGCAAAACCAAAAGUCCUUGCCAAAGACUACCUCCAUUUGUCUUCAAUGGACUCCCUGAGUUUUUCAUUGUUGCUCUUUUGUGGUAUGGCUGAAGCCCUCAAAAUUUGGAAAAGACAAGCAAGUACAAGAUAGGCACUUAGAUUGUCAUUCCUCAACUGGCUUCUCUACAGCCUUUUCCUCCCAAUAUAUAAAAUACAGCAAUAAAGAACAGAAGACUAACAUUUUAAACACUGAACUGUUGCUCAAAUUUACUCCUCCUGUAUAAUAGUAUAAUUUGUUCUUAUAAGGUUGUAAAACUGCACUGCAUACUUAAAUUGCAUGUUUCACAUGUCUAUACUAUUCAGCUCCUUUUCUCAUCUCUGCAGUGCCUACCCCCAACAUACUACUGGCUUAACAAUUCCCAUGAAACAGUGUUUGAAUUUAAGAGGCAGGGCUGUGAGAAACACAAAUGGCCAUCCUCUCAUGUAUGUGCUUCUAUCACAGAAAUUUGAUUGUUCUCUAAAGGCAAGCAUGGAUUUUAUUUUAUUUCCAGCAUCUUCAAGGUAAUUAUCUACUUAACCUGCAUAGUAGCAGUUGUUGAGACUCAGUAAACCUCAAAAUGUAGCAUUUUGGUAUGCUAAUUAUUUCAAACUGAGGGCACUUGGGAAACAGCAAAUACAAGAAAGGGCUCUCUCUGAACUCCCUUAAGUGGCUGAAGAUAGAGCCUCCAAAAAGAAACACAAUUGUCAUAGGUAUCCUCCCUGGGAAUCUCAUCAGUGAAGGAAGAUUAACUCACAGGAGACACCACACUCCAGAAAGACUUUGUCACAAACUAUCCAUUACCUCUUCUUCUGAUGAGAUCCUUGGAGACAACUUUUAUUACCUGAGAGAUGUUAUCUGUAUAACAAGACAACCUUUGUUCUCCAUGCAUUCCCUCCUCUUACUCCCCUGCAACUUGUAUAGACACCACCCCCGAUAAACCACCAACCCCUACUCCUUUCUUUAGCUCAGGAUGCUAUAAAAACUUCUAUCAUCUGGCCCCUCUUCAAGUCCUCUACUUUGUGGGACUCCUGUGUGUAAUUAAAAUAGCUUUUCUCCUACUAAA